GAUCACCCAUCCAAGGAAUCCUACCAACUGUCUGCAAGAUCCAAAUUUCAGAAUUAAUUAAUUCUGAAUGGGCAUAGGCCAAAGGGCCUUAUCCAUGAAGGCAGAAGACACUGUGGAGUAAUUUGCUUGACGUCUCAUUUCAUACCAAAUCAACGAUUACUAUGGGCACUAUGGGCUCUCACGGCAGUGACUAUGAAGAUCACCGUGUAAUUCAAAUUAAAUCGGCCUCCCUGUACAGGAUCACUAAUGUGGGGCGCUGGCUGUGUUGUACUACAAGAACAAAACAUGAUUAGAGCGAGCGUGCCGGCGCGACCUGGUUGGCAAGUGGCACCAUACCUCAAGCUGAACCACAACUAUGCAAAGAAAAAACACUGUUAAGUCGGCAUCCACUGCAUUGGGUAUUUUGCAACUGGCGUUAGUUUCCGUGUGCUUUCAUUUGAGUUCUUACUUGGGCCAUCCACAGUCAGAAGCAUUGUGAGAUCAACUAGUGGUAAUCUGUGGCAAGUUCUGCAGCCAAUCUAUAUGGAAUCCAAGACAGAAGAGGAAUGGAUUGAAGUGGCACAUCAGUUUCUUAAAUGUACUAAUUUCCCUAACGUUAUUGGAGCAAUUGGCGGGAAACAUAUUAGGAUCAAACGGCCUCGUGACAGCAGCUCCACAUGUUUUAAUUAUAAGAAAUUUUUUCAGUGGUGUUAAUGGCUUGGGUAAACGCAGAUUAGAAAUUCAUAUUUGUAGAUAUUGGUUCCGAUGUUUCAUCAAGUGACGCAACCAUUUUCAGAAACUCUAAUAUGGGUAAGAAUGGGUAAGAAAUUGGAAAAUGGAGAAUUAAAUAUUCCGAUUGCCAGCCCUCUACCAAAUGACGUUAAUGGAACACCAAUGCCAUUUGUGGUUGUCGGUGAUCAGGCCUUUGGGCUAUCCAAACAUGUGUUACGACCGUUCCCCAGAAUAAAUCUGAGUAUUCAGAAAAAAAGUUUUCAACUAUAAGCAUACAAGAGCUCGUCGAAUGGUGGAAUGUGCUUUCGACAUUUUAGUAAGUAAAUGGCGCAUUUUUUAUCGCCCCAUUGAUGUUGGAGUAGAAUUUUGUGAUUCUGUAGUAAAAGCCUGUUGCGUGCUGCAUAAUUACAUCCGAGAGAAAGACGGUAUUCACUUUAUGGAUAUAGUGUAUGAGUGCCCACUUGAAAGUAUUCCUCCUUACGGAGUUGGCGGAAAUUUAUCUGGAAUUAAUAUUAGGGAGUAUUUCACUUCUUAUUUUACUUCCCCUCAAGGAGCAAAGUGUAAGUUCAUUUCAAAACUUGUUACUUCUUAAGCAAUUUUCAGAACUGUAUGAUCACUUCUUAUGUAAGUCAUUACACUUAUUACACUUCAGUAACAAUUGUCAAGGAAAUAAAAAUUGAUCAUGCUAAAAAUUCUGUGUGUAAUAUAUUACAGAAAACUUUUCAAAUAAAGAGAAGUAAUUGUACUAUAUAUAAAUAGUAAAACAUUUAACACAACUUUAUUGUCUUAAAGUAUUAUAUACGGCACUGUAUGUAAUUUAUGAAGAU